rnacentral:rRNA from 1 species
AUGGGGGCUCCGAGCAGGGAGGAGGAGGAGGCGAAGAAGAUGGAGGCCGGCGGCGACACCGUCGGCCAGAAGCUCGACGCCGGCGCGCUCUUCGUCCUCCAGUCCAAAGGGUCAUGGCUGCACUGCGGGUACCACCUGACGACGUCGAUCGUGGCGCCGCCGCUGCUGAGCCUGCCGUUCGCGUUCGCGGCGCUGGGGUGGUCGGCGGGGAUGGUGUGCCUCGUCGUCGGCGCCGCCGUCACCUUCUACUCCUACAACCUCCUCUCCCGCGUGCUCGAGCACCACGCGCAGCAGGGCCGCCGCCAGCUCCGCUUCAGGGACAUGGCCGCCGACAUACUAGGACCCGGAUGGGCGCGCUACUACAUCGGGCCGAUCCAGUUCAUGGUGUGCUUCGGCGCCGUGGUCGCGUCCACGCUGCUCGCCGGCCAGAGCAUGAAGGCCAUCUACCUGAUCGCCAGCCCCGGCGGCGCCAUCAAGCUCUACGUCUUCGUGGCCAUCUUCGGCGUCUUCCUCGUCGUCCUCGCGCAGCUGCCGUCCUUCCACUCCCUCCGCCACGUCAACCUCGUCUCCCUGCUGCUCUGCCUCUCCUACAGCCUCUGCGCCGUCGCCGGCUGCGUCUACCUCGGCACCUCCGACCGGCCGCCCCCCAAGGACUACUCCAUCGUCGGCGACACCCAUGCCCGCGUCUACGGCGUCUUCAACGCCCUCGCCGUCAUCGCCACCACCUACGGCAACGGCAUCAUCCCCGAGAUACAGGCGACGGUGGCCGCGCCGGUGACGGGGAAGAUGUUCAAGGGCCUGUGCCUGUGCUACGCGGUGGUGGUGACCACCUUCUUCAGCGUGGCCACGGCGGGGUACUGGGCGUUCGGCAACGCGGCGCAGGGCCUGCUGCUCAACAACUUCAUGGUGGACGGCAAGCCCGUCAUCCCGGUGUGGCUGCUGCUCAUGGCGGAGCUCUUCACGCUGGUGCAGCUGUCGGCCACGGCCACCGUGUACCUGCAGCCGACCAACGAGGUGCUGGAGGGCCUCCUGUCGGACCCCAAGGCCGGGCAGUACGCGGCGCGGAACGUGGUGCCGCGGCUCGUGUCCCGCACCUUGGCCGUCGCCUUCGGCACCACCAUCGCCGCCAUGAUACCCUUCUUCGGCGACAUGAACGCGCUCAUCGGGGCCUUCGGCUUCAUGCCGCUCGACUUCGCCGUGCCGGCGCUCUUCUACAACCUCACCUUCAAGCCCUCCAAGAAGGGCUUCGUCUUCUGGCUCAACACGGCCAUCGCCGUCGUGUUCUCCGCGGUCGCCGUCGUCGCGUCCGUGGCCGCCGUCAGGCAGAUCGUGCUGGACGCCGGCACGUACAAGCUCUUCGCUAACGUGUGA